UUAUCUGGGCUUUGGCUAAGAUCAAGUGUAGUAUCUGUUCUUAUCAGUUUACCAUUUGGGAGCAUGCACCCCACUGAGGGAAGAGUGAAUCACUUGAUUGUGGCCAUGGGCCAGGAGGCAUGCAUUGAAGCCUGAGCUUUUUUGUGCUCCAGGAUUAGCACCUCUGAGGUGCCUGCCUUCACAGGUCUGCACACCCCAC
rfam:Xenopus laevis strain J chromosome 5L, whole genome shotgun sequence.